CAGUAGCCGCGGUAAUACAGAGGGUGCGAGCGUUAAUCGGAUUUACUGGGCGUAAAGCGUGCGUAGGCGGCUUUUUAAGUCGGAUGUGAAAUCCCUGAGCUUAACUUAGGAAUUGCAUUCGAUACUGGGAAGCUAGAGUAUGGGAGAGGAUGGUAGAAUUCCAGGUGUAGCGGUGAAAUGCGUAGAGAUCUGGAGGAAUACCGAUGGCGAAGGCAGCCAUCUGGCCUAAUACUGACGCUGAGGUACAAAAGCAUGGGGAGCAAACAGGAUUAGAUACCCCAGUAGUCCCUGUCUCUUAUAU
rnacentral:rRNA from 1 species